ACGUUAACGAGGCUUGAUUUGAGCUUCAACAACCUCUUUGGUCCUGUUCCGGUGAAACUCGCUGGUGCUCCUUUGCUUGAAGUUCUCGACAUUCGUAAUAACCCUUUGCCGGCUUCGUUCCCUCUGCUUUGAAGAGGCUAAACAAUGGAUUCCAGUAUUCAAACAAUCACGGUUUAUGCGGAGAUGGGUUCACGGAUUUGAAUGCUUGCACCGGUUUAAACGGUCCGAACCUAAACCGGCCAGACCCAACAAACCCAACGAAUUUCACAACCGUUGACGUGAAACCAGAAUCAGCAGAUUUACAACGAAGCAAUUGCAGUAACAAUAAUGGCGUGUGUUCAUCAAAAACCUCAAAGUCUUCACCUUUAGGAAUCGUCAUGGGUCUUAUGGGUUCAAUCCUCGCAGUUGCAAUCUUUGGUGGUUCAACAUUCACAUGGUACAGACGAAGGAAACAAAAGAUUGGAAGCAGUCUUGAUGCAAUGGACGGUAGGAUUAGCACUGAGUACAACUUCAAAGAAGUUUCUAGAAGAAAAAGCUCUUCUCCAUUGAUCAGCCUAGAGUAUGCAAGUGGUUGGGAUCCGUUAGGACGAGGACAGAGCAGUAACAACAACAGUGCAUUGUCUCAAGAAGUCUUUGAGAGCUUUAUGUUCAAUCUUGAGGAGAAUGAGAGAGCUACUCAGAGCUUCUCUGAGGUUAACUUGUUGGGGAAGAGUAAUGUCUCUUCGGUUUAUAAAGGUAUCCUUAGAGAUGGUUCUGUUGCAGCUGUAAAAUGUAUAGCGAAAUCGAGCUGUAAAUCCGAUGAAUCCGAGUUUCUCAAAGGGUUGAAGAUGCUGACAUUGUUGAAGCAUGAGAAUUUAGUGAGGUUGAGAGGAUUCUGCUGCUCAAAAGGACGUGGAGAAUGUUUCCUUAUCUAUGAGUUUGUCCCCAAUGGUAAUCUUUUGCAGUAUCUUGAUGUGAAGGAUGAGACUGGAGAGGUUCUCGAAUGGACAACUCGAGUUUCCAUCAUUAAUGGCAUCGCCAGAGGGAUUGUUUACCUACAUGGAGAAAAUGGAAACAAGCCUGCAAUAGUUCACCAGAAUCUAUCUGCAGAGAAGAUUCUCAUUGAUCAUUGGUAUAAUCCUUCUCUUGCGGAUUCCGGUCUUCACAAGCUUUUCACGGAUGACAUCGUUUUCUCGAAGCUCAAAGCAAGUGCGGCAAUGGGAUACUUAGCUCCUGAGUACAUAACUACAGGGAGGUUUACUGAUAAGAGCGACGUGUAUGCCUUUGGUAUGAUUCUGUUGCAGAUACUGAGUGGUAAAAGCAAAAUCAGCCAUUUGAUGAUCUUACAAGCUGUAGAGUCAGGAAGACUGAAUGAAGACUUCAUGGAUCCAAAUCUUCGAAAGAACUUCCCGGAAGCAGAAGCAGCUGAGCUCGCUAGACUUGGUCUUCUCUGCACCCAUGAAUCCUCAAACCAGAGACCAUCCAUGGAAGACGUUAUGCAAGAACUGAACAAACUCGCAGCGAAUUAUUAGUUUCCGUUUAACAAGAUUCUUGCUUUUAAUGUCCAAGAAUUGGCAUACCAAGGUUUCAGAAUAUCACCAUUCCCCUGAUGUUAACUCUGUUUUUAGGUUCAGUGUAACAAUCUUAUCUCCUUGUAACUGUAGCUGAUGUACUUAGGCUGUAAAAACAAUCACUUUUCAGAAGUUUUAGGUGAUCUUGUGGGAAGUGUUUUUUUCAGACA